rnacentral:rRNA from 1 species
UACGGAGGGUGCAAGCGUUAUCCGGAUUCACUGGGUUUAAAGGGUGCGUAGGUGGGCAAGUAAGUCAGUGGUGAAAUCUCCGGGCUUAACCCGGAAACUGCCAUUGAUACUAUUUGUCUUGAAUACUGUGGAGGUCAGCGGAAUAUGUCAUGUAGCGGUGAAAUGCUUAGAUACGACAUAGAACACCAAUUGCGAAGGCAGCUGGCUACACAAAUAUUGACACUGAGGCACGAAAGCGUGGGGAUCAAACAGG